UACGUAGGGGGCAAGCGUUGUCCGGAAUCAUUGGGCGUAAAGAGCGCGUAGGCGGUCCGGUAAGUUGGGUGUGAAACCUCCAGGCUCAACCUGGAGACGCCACCCGAUACUGCUGUGACUAGAGUCCGGUAGGGGAGCGUGGAAUUCCUGGUGUAGCGGUGAAAUGCGCAGAUAUCAGGAGGAACACCAGCGGCGAAGGCGGCGCUCUGGGCCGGAACUGACGCUGAGGAGCGAAAGCGUGGGGAGCGAACAGG
rnacentral:rRNA from 1 species